GCCGACAGUCGCACUCCGCCUCCACGGCAGGUCAGUAGCCGCUGACAGUCGCACUCCGCCUCCACGGCAGGUCAGUAGCCGCCGACAGUCGCACUCCGCCUCCACGGCAGGUCAGUAGCCGCUGACAGUCGCACUCCGCCUCCACGGCAGGUCAGUAGCCGCCGACAGUCGCACUCCGCCUCCACGGCAGGUCAGUAGCCGCCGACAGUCGCACUCCGCCUCCACGGCAGGUCAGUAGCCGCUGACAGUCGCACUCCGCCUCCACGGCAGGUCAGUAGCCGCCGACAGUCGCACUCCGCCUCCACGGCAGGUCAGUAGCCGCCGACAGUCGCACUCCGCCUCCACGGCAGCCAAGUAGAAGAGGAUGUCCCCACUACAGAGAAUAUACCGAAUAUUAACUUAUUAUCGCAAGGACUAAUCACAGAUUGAAAGUAACGGAGAAGUGUUUGUUGGUGUAUGUUAUAAAAUUGUUCAUAAUUGUAAUGCAAUCAGAAAUGUAAUGUUGUAUUUUGCGGGAAGGAAUAUCGUGGUAAGGAUUCAAGUAGAUGGACAUUGUUUUGGUGUGAUAGUGUUGUAUCCAAUAUUAUGGAAGGUGUAAGAAGGAAAUUCCCGUAAGCAUGCGACAAAGCGUUGCGUUCGUCCGGGAUGAGCUCACUGUUAGUGUAAGUAUAGGAGAUGUGAGUGAUGCCUACUCAAUGUUGGGCAGUUAAUCAGUUAAAUUGACUUGUAUGUCAUGGAAUGUGAUUGUAAAAGGUAAAUGUGAACGGCUACAUUAUGUGAUUACGGAUGGAAAACAUCCCUCUCCUAAACUGGUGAGAUAGAGCUAUGUAAAAGUUGUCUCGAGUAAAACAAUUCGAGGCUAAGACUAUGUACUAAGGAAUUUGCAUAGUGUAAUUUGAAAUAUUUUCAAUGAAUUAUAUUUUCAUAAAGCUUCUCACCUGUUAUCCGCGUUUGUGCCUAUUUAAACUGUAAUGAGAGUUAAAUUAAUAUGUGCGUACGUUUUAUUAUUUCCAAAGAGUCAUUGCAUUUCCAUGUUUAGCAAUGACUACGUUUUGCGGCAGUCCUACUAAAUAAAGCGUGUUCCUAUAACGCAUUGAAAAUUUAUUGUAUUGUAUGUAGGUCUCCGAUUUAUAUUCUGCUGGCCAGAUGGACUCCGUCUUUUGUCAAGUGGGCUAAUGACCGCUUAUUGUACGGCAAUUAGCCAUAGAUUAAAAAAUGGGUGUGACUCUGUUUUAUUGACUGUCAUUAUAUUGUUAGUUGUAGAUAAAUAAAAUGUGAUAGUAGGACUGCUGGUCCGGUCUGAUGACGAUGCCACUGUAUGUGCCGCUCAGUGCUACCUUUAGUUAAACAAAAAUCUCUUCGUUUAGUGUAUAGUUUUAAUGGAAAGUUUAUAGGAGCACAUACGAAUGGGGGUUAAUCAGUGGGCAUCGCCAUUUUGAUCAUUGCCAGAAUUUAUCGAGCAACUCAAUUGUUUUAUCACACAAAUAUAGUAUGUAUAAAUUGUAAAUGUUCUGAAAAAAGGACUUAGUUUAAUUUCAUUCAUAAAAAUGGAACAAUUUGUCGUAAAAUAUGUAUAUUCUUACAAGUGUUUGGUAAGUCCUUUUGAUGUGGAAAUUUGAAACAAAAUGUUGACAGAAAUAGGAUAUAUUUGUAAAAAUCUUACUCAAAAAACUGUACCUGGUGAUUGUAUUAUUAUGGAAAUAUACCUUUACAACAAAUCUUCCAAAUAGUGAUAUUAUUUUAAAAUAAUAGACCCCUUUUUUAUUAUCUUUUAUUGCAAAUGGUAUUGUACAAUAAAAUAGCAAUAGUUAUAUCAGUCGAUAAUAAAUAACAAACUCGCUACAAAACGUAUAAAUAAAAUAUCAAAGUAAAACCAUACAAUGAUAUAACAAAUACCAGUUAAUUUCAAACAAAAUGUUUCACAUUCGUAACUUACCUUUAAAAGCAUUAAAAUACGUACGAGCUUAAUCCAUAAAUAAUUUGUAUACAAGAAGUUUACCAAGUUUAUUCAAUACAAUAUUUAGGAAAGUACACAAUACAUGACUUACGUAUCUAUAAUUAAUUAAUUUACAUUAUGUAGAAUAUUUUUAUAAAAUAUAAAUACUGCUUACACAAGUCUAUUCCUACUGGAACAAAAUAUUUACACAACCUCUUUCACCUUGGCUCUAUUGAAUAUAAUAUUUCAUAGGAUAUACCAAACCAAUUCCUCCUGUCCCGUCAGUACAAAGUGUACUUUCGUUUCAAAAUCCAUUAUAUCGAACUAUUGAAAUGUUUUCUAAUCUUAUCUGUCAAUAAAAAUAUUCAUGAGAGUAAUGUCUUAACUGUAGUAUUAAUAAUCUUAAAGGAGUUUUAUUUAUUUUUAUAAAUAAAUAUA